rnacentral:rRNA from 1 species
CAAACUGGAGAUGGCGACCGGCGCACGGUGAGUAACACGUAUCCAACCUGCCGAUAACUCGGGGAUAGCCUUUCGAAAGAAAGAUUAAUACCCGAUGGCAUAGUUCUUCCGCAUGGUGGAACUAUUAAAGAAUUUCGGUCAUCGAUGGGGAUGCGUUCCAUUAGGUUGUUGGCGGGGUAACGGCCCACCAAGCCUUCGAUGGAUAGGGGUUCUGAGAGGAAGGUCCCCCACAUUGGAACUGAGACACGGUCCAAACUCCUACGGGAGGCAGCAUG